rnacentral:rRNA from 1 species
UACGGGGGGGGGCAAGCGUUGUUCGGAAUUACUGGGCGUAAAGGGCUUGUAGGUGGCCAACUAAGUCAGACGUGAAAUCCCUCGGCUUAACCGGGGAACUGCGUCUGAUACUGGAUGGCUUGAGUGUGGGAGAGGGAUGCGGAAUUCCAGGUGUAGCGGUGAAAUGCGUAGAUAUCUGGAGGAACACCGGUGGCGAAGGCGGCAUCCUAGACCAUUACUGACACUGAAAAGCGAAAGCCAGGGGAGCAAACGGG